AUUGAACGCUGGCGGCAGGCCUAACACAUGCAAGUCGAACGAGUGGCGGACGGGUGAGUAAUGUCUGGGAAACUGCCUGAUGGAGGGGGAUAACUACUGGAAACGGUAGCUAAUACCGCAUACCAUCGGAUGUGCCCAGAUGGGAUUAGCUAGUGGGUGGGGUAACGGCUCACCAAGGCGAAGAUCCCUAGCUGGUCUGAGAGGAUGACCAGCCACACUGGAACUGAGACACGGGCCAGACUCCUACGGGAGGCAGCAGUGGGGAAUAUUGCACAAUGGGCGCAAGCCUGAUACAGCCAUGCCGCGUGUAUGAAGAAGGCCUUCGGGUUGUAAAGUACUGUCAGCGGGGAGGCGUUACCCGCAGAAGAAGCACCGGCUAACUCCGUGCCAGCAGCCGCGGUAAUAC
rnacentral:rRNA from 1 species